CCUACUUUUGGAUAAUUAAUUAGGUUCGUAAAAUUAUGGUUUUUUUUUUUUUAAAAUAUUUUAAAGUACUUUGCAAAUUUUCUUUUCGCAAGUAGGAAGCUUUGGUCGGUUAAAAAAAAAGUAGGAAGCUUUGGCUGGCAUAUGGAGUCUUUGAGUUCACUAAAAAGAAUUCUAGCCUUUUAGGUCACCUUUUCUUAUUUUCGCCCACAAACUAAAAAUCAGGAAGAAAAAGUUGCUGGGCUUCCUGCUCCCUCCAAGUAUUCUGCUGGCUGGGUAUAUCACAAAGUAGGAGCUGCUCCGCUUCCUUACCAAAUUGAAAAGAAAGAGAUCCUUCUUCCAAUACCCAAACUUGAAGGUGUUUUGAUGUUCUAGUACAUAUGUUAAAGUGGGCGGUGCGGGCUAUAUCACCAUAUAAUCUGUAUGUACGAGAUGACGCUGCUAGAGGAUUUCCUACCAUUUGUCAAAAUGGUGCCAUUUAUGAAGAAGAGAAGUCAAUCUGCUGUGUCUCUGUCAAAAACUUGAGGUAAAUAGAAAAGGUGUAUGCCAAAGUGGAAUCAUAUCCUAUAAAAAAGAGAAAAAAGAGGAAGCAUAUCAGUCUUUCCAUCUUGAGGGACAUAUAAAAAGUGGCAAUUUUGUCAGUUCCCGUGGCUGCUGCUUUUGCUAAUAUAACUAUCAAUAGAUUAAUACAGAUAUCUAAUGAAAAAAAAAACACUAAACUCAAAAGCUGCAAAGGUAGUCAGCAGCAGCAGCAGCAGCAAGGCAGACAUAAAAAGCUUGCUAGCUGCAUCCGUGGAUUCAAUUCAACUUAAAAGCUCCAAAGUUUGAGCUAGCUUUUGGAGUUUGGAUCAAAACAAAGUUCCUUCAUGCGCCUCAGAAUCCACUAUCUGCAGAUUAAUGGCAACAGAAGCUGAUAUUCCAGAAUCUAUAUCUGUCACGGUAGGGUAUUCUAGAAUCUUGAUCACUCUAACUCAAAUAGCUUACUCUGUUUUUCUGUAAUCUCAUGAUCUUUGUAUGAUAGAAUUAUAUCUUAUAAUUAUGCGUUAUGGUAUAAUUGUUCUCAUUGAUGGAAAA